GGCCGCUUAGCCAAGUGGUUUAAGGCAUCAGCUUUAGGCUUUCAAGCUCGCUGAUAUUCGCGUGUUCGAUCCACGCAGUGGUCA
rnacentral:tRNA from 1 species